UCAUUCGGAAAGUCCCAAACCUUCUUUAAAUCAUCACUGAAGAACCUGUUCUAACGGUUUAUCACCAGUCCGGUAAACCUUCUUGACCCUUUUCAAUUUGCUUAUAGGGAGGGAAGAGGCGUCCAGGAUGCUACUGCUACUCUUUUAAAUCUGCUUUUUAAACACCUUGAGGGCAGUAAGAAGCACGCCAGGCUACUUUUUGUCGAUUUCUCCUCGGCUUUUAACACGAUCCAGCCCCAUGUUCUUAUUGACAAGCUAGUUAACACCUUUAGCCUAGACCCAUGUUUAGUAGGUUGGAUACUGGAUUUUUUAACUAACAGAUCCCAAUGUGUUAAGGUGAAUACAACUGUGUCUAGCCUUCUGUCCACCUCCACUGGUUCGCCACAGGGCUGUGUUCUCUCUGCUCUUUUGUUUAUUUUAUACACCGACGACUGUCGCAGUAACCACGACAACCGUUUCAUCCUAAAAUACGCUGAUGAUUCGGUCAUAGUCAGCCUUCUCAAUGAUGAUGAGACUGUGCAUGGCCAGGUUGUAGAGGACUUCCUGACCUGCUGCAACGAUGCAUUCCUUGAGCUGAACAUCUCAAAAACUAAUGAGCUCUGCAUUGAUUUCAGACGUGGCCCCCAUCCCAUUGAGAACACUAUCAUCUGUGACCAGCCAGUGGAAUUUGUGUCUAGUUAUAAAUACCUGGGCACGAUCAUCGACAAUAACCUAAAAUUUGAUGUUAACACGGACAUGCUGUGCAAGAGGGGCCAGCAACGUCUUUACUGCCUUAGGAAACUAGUCAGAUUCAACGUUUCAAAAAGCCUGUUGAAACUGUUUUACUGUGCAUAUAUACACUCGGUCAUCUCCUUCUCUCUCAUCUGCUGGUUUGGUAACCUCACUGUCAAGGACAAAAAUUCUCUUGGCAUUAUUGUUAAAACUGCCUCCAAAAUCACUGGCAUCCAGCUAGAGGGCCUCAAUUACUUUUAUAACAGACAGCUGUUCAAGAAAACCUCUCAUAUCCGUCUUGACAGUGCCCACCCGCUGAGCUCUGAGUUCAGGCUGUUGCCUUCUGGCAAACGUUUGUGUUUACCAAGGAUCAGCAGGAAUAGAUACGGGUAUUCUUUUGUCCCUGCAGCCAUCCGGGCAUUCAAUGCGGCCAGCAGCAGAUAAUUUAUUUUACUUGUGUUGCGAUGACUUUUUUUUAAUCUAUUUUAAUGUUUUAAUGUUUUAAUGUUUUAAUUUGUAUUUUACAUUUUUUAUAUCCUGGCACUUUAUCUUUCGAGCACUUUGUCUCCACAGUGUUUUGUGUUCAUUGUUGUUUUGUCUUGUCUUGUGGGUUAAACCACUUCUCCUGGCUGCGAACAAAUUUGCCCUCGUGGGACAUUUAAUAAAAUCUUGAAUCUUGAAU
rnacentral:lncRNA from 1 species